rnacentral:rRNA from 1 species
UGGGGAAUAUUGCACAAUGGGCGCAAGCCUGAUGCAGCAACGUCGCGUGAACGAUGAAGGCCUUCGGAACGCAAAGUUCUGUUGCAGGGGAAGAUAAUGACGGUACCCUGCGAGGAAGCCCCGGCUAACUACGUGCCAGCAGCCGCGGUAAUACGUAGGGGGCUAGUGUUAUCCGGAUUUACUGGGCGUAAAGGGUGCGUAGGUGGUCUUUCAAGUCGGUGGUUAAAGGCUACGGCUCAACCGUAGUUAGCCUCCGAAACUGGAAGACUUGAGUGCAGGAGAGGAAAGUGGAAUUCCCAGUGUAGCGGUGAAAUGCGUAGAUAUUGGGAGGAACACCAGUAGCGAAGGCGGCUUUCUGGACUGCAACUGACACUGAGGCACGAAAGCGUGGGUAGCAAACAGG